rnacentral:sRNA from 1 species
GGCAUCUAUCUAAAAGGAAGUAUUUUCCGUCAACAUUUCAAAUAAAGCUUAUGCAAUUUCAAUGAAAACAAACCCAAAAAACCACAAUGAACAGAAGAACUCGUUUGGGAGCCGGAAAAUGUGUCUAACGAUGUCUGGUAAUUUGUGGAAAUCUUGCCCAUUGCCGUUUACGUCUGGAAACGCAUAAACCAGUUGGUCAGUUGAGACAUUUGGCCAUUUGUUUGAGGAGUGCAAGUUCAAUGAUUGGCCCCGGCUGAAAAAAAUUAUGGCCAGUGGUCGGGUGUAUCUUCAGGCUG